rnacentral:rRNA from 1 species
GACGUAGGGAGCGAGCGUUGUCCGGAUUCAUUGGGCGUAAAGAGCGCGCAGGCGGCUUGGUAAGUCGGAUGUGAAAACCCGGAGCUCAACUCCGGGCGUGCAUCCGAAACUGCCCGGCUAGAGGUAGGUAGGGGAGAUCGGAAUUCCUGGUGUAGCGGUGGAAUGCGCAGAUAUCAGGAGGAACACCGGUGGCGAAGGCGGAUCUCUGGGCCUUACCUGACGCUCAGGCGCGAAAGCUAGGGGAGCAAACAGGAUUAGAUACCCUGGUAGUCCUAGCUGUAAACGUUGGGUGCUAGGUGUGGGUGGACAUCGACCCCAUCCGUGCCGAAGCUAACGCAUUAAGCACCCCGCCUGGGGAGUACGGCCGCAAGGCUAAA